rnacentral:rRNA from 1 species
UCUUAUGUACAUGCCUACAACAUAGCAUUUACUGUUUGUAUCCCAUUAUAACUCUGUAGUUAAGGGUGCUUGGGCUAGAGUAGUAUUGGUAUGGGUGAUCGUGAGAAGUCCUAGUGUUUUACAUGCA